rnacentral:rRNA from 1 species
UACACUCCUGCGGGAGGCAGCAGUGGGGAAUUUUGGACAAUGGGCGAAAGCCUGAUCCAGCAAUGCCGCGUGCAGGAUGAAGGCCUUCGGGUUGUAAACUGCUUUUGUACGGAACGAAAAAGCUCCUUCUAAUACAGGGGGCCCAUGACGGUACCGUAAGAAUAAGCACCGGCUAACUACGUGCCAGCAGCCGCGGUAAUACGUAGGGUGCGAGCGUUAAUCGGAAUUACUGGGCGUAAAGCGUGCGCAGGCGGUUAUGUAAGACAGAUGUGAAAUCCCCGGGCUCAACCUGGGAACUGCAUUUGUGACUGCAUGGCUAGAGUACGGUAGAGGGGGAUGGAAUUCCGCGUGUAGCAGUGAAAUGCGUAGAUAUGCGGAGGAACACCGAUGGCGAAGGCAAUCCCCUGGACCUGUACUGACGCUCAUGCACGAAAGCGUGGGGAGCAAACAGGAUUAGAAACCCUGGUAGUCCCA